rnacentral:rRNA from 1 species
UACGUAGGGUGCAAGCGUUGUCCGGAAUUAUUGGGCGUAAAGAGCUCGUAGGCGGUUUGUCGCGUCUGCUGUGAAAACUCGGGGCUUAACCCCGGGCCUGCAGUGGGUACGGGCAGACUAGAGUGCGGUAGGGGAGACUGGAAUUCCUGGUGUAGCGGUGAAAUGCGCAGAUAUCAGGAGGAACACCGGUGGCGAAGGCGGGUCUCUGGGCAGUAACUGACGCUGAGGAGCGAAAGCGUGGGGAGCGAACGGG